AGCCGCCAGGGCUGCCGAGGCAGCCACGAUAGGAAGGGCAGGGGGCCUUCCACAGAAGCUGGCACAGCCUCCUUGGGACACGUCCUGGCUGCUGGCCAUCCUAAACCCACGGGUGUGACAGGCACAGGGAACGUGUGGGCCAGGGCACCAAUGCUGCUCUGACCCCUGGGGCCUGGGGAGCACUGACAUCGGCAGGUGUGGCAGAGUCCCUGCCCAAGCAGACCUGCCACCCCCCGAGCCCUGGCAGCGCUGGUGCCCCUCUCCUGCCCCAGGGACCUGUGCCCCGGGGGGCUUCUGUGCCUGGGGCAGCCAAAGCCCAUGUGCGCUGGGGGCUGUGCUCCUUCCUGCAGGGGCUGCUGGCAGGAGCACCCAGAGCAACUGCUGGCAACACUUGGUCUCAGUCAGAAGCUCUUACUCCACACUGAAGUUAUUUUCUCAUUGAAGUAAUUUCCUUCAGCACAAAAACACCUUAGCAGGGAAGGCACAGAAGAAUCUGUCAUUUAACAAUCCUCACUUCAGGAAAGCUUUACUUCCCAUUGCUCAACUCAAGUAGUUCCAAAAAGUUGCAAACUUCCCCAAUUCAUUGGGAUGGCCUGAGAAGGUGAAGAGUUGGAAUUUUGCUUCCGGUCUCAAAGCAGCAACUCAUUUGCCUUAACCUCAUCCACUGAGAGUCACUUUAUAGAACAUAACACUACAUAGAGGCAAAAAAAAGGGCCAUUCUUUGGUUUGCCAAAGGUUUUCUCUGAAAGGAUGAUAUUUUCCUAAUUCUCUUAAGGAAUAAAAGUUUUUAAGAAAUAAAAGUCCACUCAGUCUUACGAAAGAAGCCCAAACAAAUGAGUAGAUGGCAAAAGGGCCAAUCCUCCCCCUGGUACAGUUAUCUCAGUGGCCAGUAAAGUACAGCUCUCCCCUCUUGUUCCCUGCAGAGAAUCAGGACCAUGAACAGGAAAAGUCACAGAUAUUCUUUCUGCCCUCCGUAACCAAAGCUGUGCCAAACCACAGAUGCUGCCUUCAAACUGACUCAAAUUCCAGCCAAGACCUUUCACCUUCCAGACAACGCCUUCUCCAACACCCCACCAACACAACCCCCCCCAAACUCCCACACAGAAGCCCUCAACACCCUGCCAGGACCCCCAGCUGUCCCCAUCCCUCUGCAGAACUUCCCACCCUCCAGCAGACCCCCUGGUUCCCUGCAUGUGCUGUGGGAUGGCUCUCAGGAGGAUCUGCUCCAAGGCCUUCCCUGGUGGCAGCUCAGGCUGCCAGGCCUGUGGUUCCUGGAUCACCCUUCCCACCGAGCCUUCCUGUGCACGGCUGUUCCGUUGGCACCUUUGCUCAGCUCGGACUUCUCCACUUAACCAGGACUGCUGUGUCCACGCCAUGGGACUCAUAUUUUCCCCUCAGAGAUAUGUCUUCCUCCUUGAUAUUUUCCCCUGCUUUUGCAGUAUGUGUCAGUGUCCACGCCAUGGGACUCAUGUUUUCCCCUCAGAGAUAUGUCUUCCUCCUUGAUGUUUUCCCCUGCUUUUGCAGUAUGUGUCAGGUUAGUUUUGGCAUCUCUUUUUCUUUUGUGCUGCAUCUCAUUUCCUCCCAGGCCAUUUUCUUGUAGUCGCUAAAUCUCCAAAAGUUCUGAUAUUUGGGUUUUUUUUCUCUUGCAUUUCAUUUGAACGUAUCUCCUUUCCAGAGCGUUUGUAAGCCUUUCUUUCCUGGGUGGCAAGAUUUCGUUUCCUGAUCCGAAAGGAAUUUCAUUUCCUUUUGGGCCGGGAAACGAAAUCUUGCGAUUUCACUGGGGACCAAUUGGGCUAUCCAUGGUCCAUGUCCCUGCACUUGAGGGAAUCCCAGGACUUUUGAUGGUUUUGACUUGGGCAAAAAUUUCUUUUUGUUUUUUCAGUAUCCAUGUCAUGUGACUCAACUCUUCCCAGCAAAGUUCUGUCUUGCUCCCUGAUUUUUUCUCCUGCUUUUGCAACAUCUGUCCGCUUAGUUUUGGCAUGUUUUGGCCCUUUGCACUGCCGGGGUCAUGUCAUCCUGGUCCAUUUUCUUGCUGUCCAAAAAUCUCACCUUUUUUUUUUUUAUUGUUUCAGUUUCCAUGCCCUGGGUCUGAUAUUCUCCCCUCAGAGAUAUGUCUUCCUCCUUGAUGUUUUCCCCUGCUUUUGCAGUAUGUGUCAGGUUAGUUUUGGCAUCUCUUUUUCUUUUGUGCUGCAUUUCAUUUCCUCCCAGGCCAUUUUCUUGUAGUCACUAAAUCUCAAAAAUUUCUGAUGUUUUGGGGUUUUUUUUCAGUUGCAUUUGUUUGAUCGUAUCUCCUUUCCAGAGCGUUUGUAAGCCUUUCUUUCCUGGUUUGCAAGAUUUCCUUUCCCGGUCUGAAAGGAAAUUUCAUUUCCUUUUGGGCCGGGAAAUGAAAUCUUGCGAUUUCAAUGAGGACCAACUGGGCUAUCUGUGGUCCAUGUCCCUGCACUUGACGGCAUCCCAGGACUUUGGAUGGUUUUGACUUGGGCAUAAAGUUUUUUUUGUUUUUUCAGUAUCCAUGCCAUGUGACUCAUAUCUUCCCAGCAAAGUUCUGUCUUGCUCGCUGAUUUUUUCUCCAGUUUUUGCAACAUCUGUCUGCUUAGCUGGGACCUAGCUUCUGACCACUUUGGUUUUGGAGGAAUCCAGCAAAAUUUGGAAAUUUCUAGCUUGGGUGGUCAGCGUGGGCCAGGGCGAGUGGCCGCAAAGAGAGGCCAUUUUGCAGGGGAAAAAGAAGUCAUUUGGCCAGGCUCUGGGCAUCAGAUGAAAGCUGGCAUUUGGGGCUAUAAGGCCGAGCUGGGAUCUAGCUUCUGACCACUUUGGUUUUGGAGAAAUCCAGCAAAAUUUGGAAAUUUCUCUCUUAGGUGGCCUGGCCCAACGAGGGCGAGUGGCCGCAAAGAGAGGCCAUUUUCCAGGGGAAAAAGAAGUCAUUUGCCCAGGCUCUGGGCAUCAGAUGGAUGCUGGCCUUUGGGGCUCUAAGGAUCUGGAUUGGCCUAGAUUCUCGUAGGGGAAGGAGAACUUCCUGGGGACCACUUGAGUUUUGGAGAAAUCCAGCAAAAUUUGGAAAUUUCUGUCUUGGGUGGCCAGGGUGGGCCAGGGUGAGUGGCCGCAAAGAGAGGCCAUUUUGCAGGGGAUAAAGAAGUCCUUUGGCCAGGCUCUGGGCAUCAGAUGAAAGGUGGCCUUUGGGGCUCUAAGGAUCUGGAUUGGCCUAGCUUCUGACCACUUGAGUUUGGAGAAAUCCAACAAAAUUUGGAAAUUCCUGUCUUGGGUGGCCAUGCUCAACCAGGGUGAGUGGCCGCAAAGAGAGGCCAUUUUGCAGGGGAAAAAGAAGUCAUUUGGCCAGGCUCUGGGCAUCAGAUGAAAGCUGGCGUUUGGGGCUCUGGGCACUUGCUAGGACCUAGAUUCUGACCACUUGAGUUUUGGAGAAAUCCAGCAAAAGAUGGAAAUUUCUGUCUUGGGUUGCCCGGGUCGGCCGGUGUGAAUGGCCGCGAAUGAAAUUGACCUGCAGUGCCUCUCUCUGUCCACAAGGCGGUAGCGCUGGAAGAAAUCCCUGGUGGGGGAAGUUGCACCAUUUCUCACUUUUUGCAAUGGGCCAGCACUGCCACCGUCAUCUCUUUGGGGGAGGGACUGGGAGCGACUUGGAGGGACGUGGGGAGGUGCCUUGGAGUGAAUGGGAGGGACUGGGACAGACGGCACUUUGUUACUGGGAACAUUGGGAGGGACUGGUGGGCACUGGGACAAAGGGUCUUUGUGCUGGGAGACACUGGGGGUCAUUGGGCAGAGCCACUUUGUUACUGGGCGGGAGUGGGAGGGAUUGGGAAGGACUGGGACGGAACAGCUUUGUACUGGGAGCACUGGGAGGGACUGAGACAAAGGGGCUUUCUACUGGGAGGGAACUGGGGGUCACUGGGGAUUACUGGGAUAGAGCCACUUUGUUACUGGGAGGGACCAGGACAGAACGGCUUUGUUACUGGGAGCACUGGGAGGGACUGGGACAUCACUCGGAUGGACUGGGAGCACUGGGAAGGACUGCGAGUUACUGGGAUGAACUGGGAGCAGGGGUCACCCCCUGCCGGUGUCCCUCGACAGGGAUGGGGGUGGGGCCACUCCAGGGACACCUCGGGGACGUCUUGGGGUGACCCUGGGAACAUCCCACAGACACCUUGGGGACAGGCAGGGGACACUGCAGGGCCACCCUCGGGGGACAUCGUGGGGACACCAGCGCUGCAGCCAAUGUGAGAAGGGGGUGUGCUUGGGGGGCGUGACCAGGGCCCACUGAGCCAGCUGGGCCCACCUGGGAAAGAGGUGGGGUUAAAAAAGGGGGCGGGGCUUGGGCUGGGAGGAGCCAUGCCCCCACCCCAGGCCCCUCCCCAGGAUUGAUCUUAAAGCCAUGCCCCUCCCUUAGGCCCCACCCCCACCCUGACCCGUCCCAUUGUCACACCCCAUUGCCAAGGCUGGUCCCCCUUUCCCUCAAGCCCCACCCCCUUUCCCCUAAGCCCCUCCCCCUGCAGGCCCCAACCUCUCUCACCAUUGGCUGACGAGCUCCUGGAGGCGGGGCCAGUCCCUGAUUUGCUGCUGGCAGCUGGCUAUGACCAAUCGCAGAUGGGGCAGCAGCUCGGCCACGCCCUCGGGGAGGCGCAGGGCUGGCUCUGGCCCCGCCCCCAAAGCGGGCCCCGCCCCCUGCCGCGCACGCAGCACCCCCGGUGGAGCUGCUGCCGCAAGAUGGCUGCCCGGGACAGCAGCGCCCCCUGCUGGAGGCGGGGCUGGUGUGAGGCCUGGCCACGCCCCCCACCCCACAGGCCAAGUCCACAAUGGGCAGGACACUUCCCACCCCUCCCCCACCCUUUCAGUCUCCAUUAAGCCCCUCCCCCACCCUGGGCUUUCUGCCCAUCCCUC